AUGCUCGCUUCGGCAGCACAUAUACUAAAAUUAGAACAAUACACAGUGAUUAGCAUGGCCCCUGUACAAGAAUGACGGGCAAAUUUGUAAAGUAUUCCAUAUUAAA